UGCUCUGACACAUGACAACAGCCUGAUUUUAAUCUGGGCUGUUGUUGGUCAGAGAAAC
ensembl:miRNA